UACAGAGGGUGCGAGCGUUGUCCGGAAUCACUGGGCGUAAAGGGCGCGUAGGCGGCUUGAUAAGGUUGCGGUGAAAGCCCGGGGCUCAACCCCGGGUCGGCCGUGGCAACUGUCGAGCUGGAGCACUAUAGAGGCAGGUGGAAUUCCGGGUGUAGCGGUGGAAUGCGUAGAGAUCCGGAAGAACACCGGUGGCGAAGGCGGCCUGCUGGGCAGUGGCUGACGCUGAGGCGCGACAGCGUGGGGAGCAAACAGG
rnacentral:rRNA from 1 species